GCCAAACAUCAACAAAUAUCAGCACCCAACACCAGGAAAGCUGUCACAGACCAGCACUGGUAAGGAAUAGCAUGACAGAACAUUUUAACAAGGCAGGAGCAGCCCUGCUAAACAUAUAGGAACACUCAAGAUCCUGUAUCUCUCAGCUGGCUGCAAAAUCAUCUGAUUUACUAAUAGCACAUUAAAGAGGCACCUAAGACAAAUAUUAAGAUAAAAUAAACCCUAAUAAAACAAAGUAUUAGAAUUGAAAUUGAAUUGGCUCCCUAACAAGAGCAGAUGCAUACUGGGACCAGUUUCAUUGGUGAGAAAGGGUUAAAUUUUUUCCCACUCAUAUUUUUCAUCUGUUCCUUAGAAAUGGAAAUAACCAUACAGACUUCAUAGUGGUUUUUCUUCUAGAGAGCAGGAGCAAGAGGUUAUGUGCUGCCCAUCCUCAAAAGCAUCAUGAUACUUUUGGCUGGAAAAGCAAGUGGCCUCCAGGGGCUGAAGAAACCCAGAUGGGCAGUAGCUCAAACUCCAGAGGCUCCCUCUUGCCUAGCCAGCAAACCAAUGCCAGAAACCAGAGUUACUCCUCACAGUUCUCUUUGAAAAUGGGCCACAUGUGUCUGCUGUUUCCCAAGCUAUGGCUUCCUUUUCUGGUCUGUGAGCAUAACCCCAGAGCACAACGCACUGCCCACACUGUCUCAGCUGCUCCCAACAUCAACCAGCUCUUUGGGCUGGCAGGAACUUCUCCAGUUGUUCCCCAGAGGGCACAGAAAGAACCUUUCUGAAGGUGAAGGGUCAACAGUAAAUCAAGGGCAGCAUUUGUUGGGAAGAGGAAGCUCUGGAGAUUUCUUCAAGAACUUUAAAGGAAAUUUCUACUCUUUCAACACUUUUCUUAUUAAAAAAAAAAAGAGAAAAGAAAAAUC
rnacentral:lncRNA from 1 species